GACGAACGCUGGCGGCGUGCUUAACACAUGCAAGUCGAACGGUGAAGCGCCUUCCUUUUUGGUGGGUGUGGAUGAGUGGCGAACGGGUGAGUAACACGUGAGUAACCUGCUCCCUUCUUCUGGAUAACCGCAUGAAAGUGUGGCUAAUACGGGAUAUUCUGUGUCUGUCGCAUGAUGGGUCUGGGAAAGAUAUUGUUUCGGUGGGGGAUGGGCUCGCGGCCUAUCAGCUUGUUGGUGGGGUGAUGGCCUACCAAGGCGGUGACGGGUAGCCGGCCUGAGAGGGUGGACGGUCACACUGGGACUGAGACACGGACCAGACUCCUACGGGAGGCAGCAGUGGGGAAUAUUGCACAAUGGGCGCAAGCCUGAUGCAGCGACGCCGCGUGAGGGAUGGAGGCCUGCGGGUUGUGAACCUCUUUCGCCAGUGAAGCAGGCCUGCCUCGUUUGUGGGUGGGUUGACGGUAGCUGGAGAAGAAGCGCCGGCUAACUACGUG
rnacentral:rRNA from 1 species